rfam:Azospirillum sp. B510 plasmid pAB510b DNA, complete genome.
GAUCAAGCGUCUGAAGGGCAUCUGGUGGAUGCCUUGGCACUGAGAGGCGAUGAAGGACGUAGCACGUUGCGAUAAGCUUCGGGGAGCCGCGAGCAGGCUUUGAUCCGAGGAUUUCCGAAUGGGGCAACCCACCGCGCAAGCGGUAUCCCCUGCUGAAUUCAUAGGCAUGGGAAGCGAACCCGGCGAACUGAAACAUCUAAGUAGCCGGAGGAAAGGACAUCAACCGAGACUCCGCUAGUAGUGGCGAGCGAACGCGGACCAGGCCAGCCAUCUUGUCUACAUAACCGGAACCGUCUGGAAAGUCGGACCACAGUGGGUGAUAGUCCCGUAUGGAUAAACCGGACGAGAUGCACGAGUAGGGCGGGGCACGUGAAACCCUGUCUGAACAUGGGGGGACCACCCUCCAAGCCUAAGUACUCCUCAGUGACCGAUAGUGCACCAGUACCGUGAGGGAAAGGUGAAAAGCACCCCGACAAGGGGAGUGAAACAGUUCCUGAAACCGGAUGCCUACAAGCAGUCGGAGCCUCUUCAUGGGGUGACGGCGUACCUUUUGUAUAAUGGGUCAGCGACUUAGAGUAUGCAGCGAGCUUAAGCCGGUAGGUGGAGGCGCAGCGAAAGCGAGUCUGAACAGGGCGCCCGAGUUGCAUGCUUUAGACCCGAAACCUGAUGAUCUAGCCAUGGGCAGGUUGAAGGUGCGGUAACACGCACUGGAGGACCGAACUCACGCCUGUUGAAAAAGUCGGAGAUGACCUGUGGCUAGGGGUGAAAGGCCAAUCAAAUCAGGAAAUAGCUGGUUCUCCGCGAAAGCUAUUUAGGUAGCGCGUCGCGUAUUGCCGCGGGGGGUAGAGCACUGGAUGGGCUAGGGGGGCGCGAGCCUUACCAAACCUAACCAAACUCCGAAUACCCGUGAGCAGAGCGCGGCAGACAGACGGUGGGUGCUAAGGUCCAUCGUCGAGAGGGAAACAGCCCAGACCGCCAGCUAAGGUCCCCAAAUCACGGCUAAGUGGGAAAGGAUGUGGGAAGGCCAUGACAACCAGGAGGUUGGCUUAGAAGCAGCCAUCCUUUAAAGAAAGCGUAAUAGCUCACUGGUCUAGUUAAGCCGGCCUGCGCCGAAAAUGUAUCGGGGCUCAAGCCGUGUACCGAAGCUGCGGAUGUAUCGCAAGAUACGUGGUAGCGGAGCGUUCCGUAAGCCUGCGAAGGGUGUCCGUGAGGCCGCCUGGAGGUAUCGGAAGUGAGAAUGCUGACAUGAGUAGCGACAAACAGUGUGAGAAACACUGUCGCCGAAAGUCCAAGGGUUCCUGCGCAAGGUUAAUCCACGCAGGGUGAGCCGGCCCCUAAGGCGAGGCCGAAAGGCGUAGUCGAUGGGAACCACGUUAAUAUUCGUGGGCCUGGCGGAGGUGACGGAUGGGAAAGCGUGUACGAUCUUAUCGGAUUGAUCGUGCUGUGGACCUGUUCCAGGAAACAGCCCCGCCAUACAGACCGUACCCCAAACCGACACAGGUGGACUGGUAGAGUAUACCCAGGCGCUUGAGAGAAUGGUGUUGAAGGAACUCGGCAAAUUGCCCUCGUAACUUCGGAAGAAGAGGGCCCCGUUUUGGCGCAAGCCAGGGCGGGGGGCACAGACCAGGGGGUAGCGACUGUUUACUAAAAACACAGGGCUCUGCGAAGCCACACAAGGCGACGUAUAGGGUCUGACGCCUGCCCGGUGCCGGAAGGUUAAGAGGAGAGGUGCAAGCCUUGAAUUGAAGCCCCGGUAAACGGCGGCCGUAACUAUAACGGUCCUAAGGUAGCGAAAUUCCUUGUCGGGUAAGUUCCGACCUGCACGAAUGGCGUAACGACUUCCCCGCUGUCUCCAACACCAACUCAGCGAAAUUGAACUCUCCGUGAAGAUGCGGAGUUCCCGCGGUCAGACGGAAAGACCCCGUGCACCUUUACUACAGCUUUGCAGUGGUGCUAGGGACUUCAUGUGUAGGAUAGGUGGGAGGCUUGGAAGCCUGGGCGCCAGCCCGGGUGGAGCCAACCUUGAAAUACCACCCUUGAAGUCUCUGGCAUCUAACCGUGGCCCGUGAUCCGGGUCCGGGACCCUGCAUGGCGGGUAGUUUGACUGGGGCGGUCGCCUCCCAAAGUGUAACGGAGGCGCGCGAUGGUGGGCUCAGAGCGGUCGGAAAUCGCUCGUCGAGUGCAAUGGCAUAAGCCCGCCUGACUGCAAGACUGACAAGUCGAGCAGAGACGAAAGUCGGCCAUAGUGAUCCGGUGGCUCCACGUGGACGGGCCAUCGCUCAACGGAUAAAAGGUACGCCGGGGAUAACAGGCUGAUGACUCCCAAGAGUCCAUAUCGACGGAGUCGUUUGGCACCUCGAUGUCGGCUCAUCACAUCCUGGGGCUGGAGCAGGUCCCAAGGGUUCGGCUGUUCGCCGAUUAAAGUGGUACGUGAGCUGGGUUUAGAACGUCGUGAGACAGUUCGGUCCCUAUCUGCCGUGGGUGUCGGAGUUUUGCGAGGAUCUGUCCCUAGUACGAGAGGACCGGGAUGGACAUACCUCUGGUGCACCGGUUGUCACGCCAGUGGCAUGGCCGGGUAGCUAAGUAUGGACGGGAUAACCGCUGAAAGCAUCUAAGCGGGAAACCCACCUCUAAACCAGAGCUCCCUUGAGAGCCGUGACAGACCAUCACGUCGAUAGGAGGCAUGUGGAAGGGCGGCGACGCCUGAAGCUAAGCCUUACUAAUCGCUCGAUCGGCUUGAUCCC